rnacentral:antisense_RNA from 1 species
GUUGACCCGAUUUUGGCUGCACAUUUGACUGGCCCCUGGAUCAGCUCUAGGACUAGAUGUACCCAAAAGGAUGCCCACAUCCUUGCCUCAGCUCCUGCCUCUGCCCACCCAGAGAGCUGCCUUGCCCCCAUGUCCAUGAUGCAGCCACCAGGCCUGGGUAAGCGUGGGUGUCCGAGACGGGCUGGGACACCCAGAAGAGGAGCCAGGACUUGCUUAGUCUGUAUCCUGGCUCUGCAUGCCUCAGUGUCCCUGCCUGUAAAGUGGGAUCUAUGGGAACCCAUGUGUGGGCCGGGCACAGUGCUCAUACCUGUGAACCCAGCACCUUGGGAGGCCAAAGGGAGGAUCCUUUGAGCUCGGGAGACAGGGUCUCGCUCUGUUGCCCAGGCUGUAGUUCAGCGGCGUGAUCUCAGCUCACUGCAGCCUCCGCCUCCCAGGUUCAAGCGAAUUCUCCUGCCUCAGCUUCCUGAGUAACUGGGAUUACAGGCACUUGCCACCAUGCCCAGCUAAUUUUGUAUUUUUAGUAGAGAUGGGGUUUUGCCAUGUUGGCCAGGCUGGUCUCGAACUCCUGACCUCAAGUGAUCUGCCUGCCUCGGCCUCCCAAAGUGCUGUGAUUACAGGUGUGAGUCAUCAUGCCUGGCCAAAAAAAUUUUUUUUAAAUUAACCGGGUGUGAUGGCACGUGCCUGUGGUCCCAGCUACCUGAGGCCAAGGUGGGAAGAUCACUUGAACACAGCAGUUCGAGGCUGCAGCGAACUAUGAUCGCACCACUGCACUCCAGCCUGGGUGACAGAGCAAGACCCUGUCUCCAAAAAAAACCCUCUAAACCCAUGUGUUAUGGAUAGGGCCUCUAAGAAGGUAAUUAAAGUUACGUGAGUCCUAAGGGUGCGACCCUGAACUGUUGUCCUUAAAAGAAGAGGAAGAGACACCAGGAGUGAGCACACAGAGGAGAGGCCACAUGAGGACGCAGGGAGAGGGUGCCGUCUGCAAGCCACGGAGAGGCCUCAGGAGGAACCCACCCUGCCGGCAGCCUGAUCCCUGACAUCCAGACUCCGGAAGUGAGAAAAUAAAUGUCGUUUAAGCCGCCCAGGCUGUGGUGUUGAGUUAUGCGGCCCUAGCAGGUCAUUUGUCAUGUCAUGGGUAUCUGGACCUGGAAUCGUGUGCUGGCCCAAGUCAGCAGCAUGGCACCCAUGGUCACCCCUUCAGCUGAGCCACGUGCCCGGGUGCCCCAGGGACAGAGCAGGGUGUGCCACGGGCACUGCCUGGUUCCUGAAGCUGUGGGGCAGGCCGGUCUGGCCCUCAGAGCCUGUGUUCUGAUUCGAGGGCCGUUCAGUUGGGUUGAGCUCCACGGUCCCAGAGCGCCCGCCGUCAGCUCAGGCCGAGGGCCCUUCCUGGUGCCCCGGUGAGUGACACAGCCAGGACCUGACCCUCCCAUGCCUCUGUGGCAGAGCAAGGUGGGUGGGGAACUGGCUGUCCUGCUCCCAGCUGCGUUCCUGGCACCUAUGCCCCACCCAGCCCAGAGCAGAUGUCAACACACAUCUGGGUGUCAGGCAGCCGCAUGUCACUGAGUGGGGUAAACAAGGGAGGGUAAGAGGAAGGUCAGAAGGCCAUGGCUGAGGGCGCAGGUGUGGGCUGAGGCUCUUGCUUCCCAGAACACAGACUGACCUUGGUGGCAGACCUCACCAUGGGAGCCCCCAAAGGCUGCUUGCUUGAGGCCUCCAGGCCUCUUGCAGGGCCCUAAAAGCACAGGGAUCCAGGACAAGAGGUGCGGGGGCCCCCGCCUGGGCACCAGCCUGCAUGGGCCAGAGCAAGCCACUUCCUCUCAGGUUUGGGGAAUACCCAUGUCAGACUUGCAGAGGCAACUUCUCCAUCUGUCUGGCUCCCAGGCCCUGUGGCAGGAGAGGAACCAAGAAAUGAAAGGGCCCGGUGGGUGUGGGCGGGCCCUGCUCCGAUCUGGAUCUGGCCAGUGCCUGUGGCACGCCCUGCUCUGUCCCUGGGGCACCCGGGCGUGUGGCUCAGCUGAAAGGGUGACCAUGGGCACCAUUUGCCUGGCUCCCAGGUCCUGAGGCCAGAGAGGAGCCAAGAAAUGAAAGGGCCUGGUGGGUGUGGGUGGGCCUCAGUGUCUGGCUGCUCCAGGAGGAGGGGGGUGGGCACUGACUCCUGGCUGAGGGCUGGAGGCAGGGAGGCUCCUCUGGACAGGAAGACCCUCCAGGAACAGACCAGCAAGACUGGCACUGUCCAGAUGGGACCAGGAGCCGGACAGCAGCAUCAGACAUGCCCCACAGCGGCCGUGACCACAGCCACUUCCUGGAGGUCAAGACCUGGAGGCAGGGCCAGUGCUGCCAGGGAUCCUGGUGUGGACACGGGCAGGAGCAGGGGAUGCUCC